AGGGUUUGAUUCUGGCUCAGAUUGAACGCUGGCGGCAGGCCUAACACAUGCAAGUCGAACGGUAGCACAGAGAGCUUGCUCUUGGGUGACGAGUGGCGGACGGGUGAGUAAUGUCUGGGAAACUGCCCGAUGGAGGGGGAUAACUACUGGAAACGGUAGCUAAUACCGCAUAACGUCGCAAGACCAAAGUGGGGGACCUUCGGGCCUCACACCAUCGGAUGUGCCCAGAUGGGAUUAGCUAGUAGGUGGGGUAAUGGCUCACCUAGGCGACGAUCCCUAGCUGGUCUGAGAGGAUGACCAGCCACACUGGAACUGAGACACGGUCCAG
rnacentral:rRNA from 1 species